UGUUUUUCUCAUUGGAAUGCGGAGGUCAAAGGUGCGUAUCUCCUGUACUAUUGCUUAUAUAAAGGAAACGAAUACACGUUCAAUCUUUGUAUAACGUUGCUUGACAGCGCAAACAGUCAGAAGCGGUGGAAAAGAUUCUCGAGGUUUUUCAUCACUGAGCUGCUAAAAAAUAGAAAAGAUGCUGAUUUGGGCGAAUGUUAAGACUCUGCUAUUGACGUGUGCCCUACUUUUUCUGCUCUUCACCUCGUGUUAUGGUUGGCGGCGUGUCGAUUGUCAAGACUGCAGUCCUGGUAUGAACCACAAGCAACAUAAAAAGUUUGAUCCAUUAGCAUUUCGACUUCUUCAGCAUCAACAAAGAAAACUUUACGGAUCGUCCUAAUUGGUCGAUAACUUGAGGUCAGUUCAACUAAAUUUAAAUCCAAAAGAAUGUUUGAAUUUUAUUUAUAGAGAAAUAUAAGCUUUGCAACCCGUAGGUUGAAAAUGUAUAAUACGCCUAUUAUUUACAAUUGAGAUAUAGAGAAAUAAGCUAAAAUUAAAUACACUGCUAAAAUUAAAUACAAUGCCAGAAUUAAAUACAAUAUUAUAUCAAUAUCUACUAAGAAUAUAAUGCAUGCCUUGUCAAUGUUCGUUAUAGUUCGUUACACAUGAUGGUAUAAAAUAUUUUCUGGAACGUUCAGUCCUACAUUUACUUGUUGUGCGGAGUAUAUUGGAUGCCAGUAAUUAUACAUGCAGUAAGUGGGAGAAAGGGUUGGAUAAAUUAUUUUGAGAGUUCUUGAUUGGAUUCUGUAUUGAUUGAUUGCUAUAGUUCCACAGUUGAGGUACGUACAGUACUCUAGAAUUGCUCUCGUACAUGUAAACUAUAAGCUAUAAACAAACUAAUCAUUUCUCUGAAUAGAUCAACCAUGCAGUUCUAAACUAAGGGUGUUGUUGAUGGAAUUUAUCGAGUGGAAAUUUAUAUACAUUUUAUUAGACCUAACCAGGAACAGCUGCGAAAAAUGCAACUUUAUAGGUCCCUGGCAUGAAUUGAACCUGCGCGGACCCUGCGAUUCUGGUGCAGCGCUCUAACCAACUGAGCUAUACAGAGGCCAUGCAGUUGUCGAGCUCUAACCACAAGUUGAUGUGUAUACAUAUAGGGUUCUGCCAUGUUGUUAGGUUAUAUGAGCACAUUCUAACAUUAGACCUAACCAGGAUCUAGGCUGAACAGCUGCGAAAAAUGCAAGCCAGAACUAAUAUAAAGUUGCCGAUAUUUCGCAGCUGUUCCUAGUUAUAGGUCUAAUAAAAUGUAUAUAAAUUUCCACUCGAUAAUUUCCAUCAACCACAUCCUUCAACUAUUAAAUCGAGUGAGAUACCAACAAAAUCUUGAUAUUAGUUCUAAACUAAACCCUUAACUCUAGUCUCUACUUCGAAAGCGCAUGAAAGGCAUAACUCAUAAGGGUGCGAGUCUUAAAGAAGAAAGCCUAAGCCUUUAUACAGGGUGAAUAGGUUUUCGGAUCGUCGGAUUUCACAGAAAAAAUUGUUCGGAUUUCGGAUCUGGCGAAUAUUUUACACGGAUUUGCGGACCUUAUUAAUACAGCGGAUUGCGGAUUUAUCUAAUAUUUUGGCUCGGAUUGUGGAUUUAGCUUGCAAUUAAGUUCGGAUCCUAGAUUGUGACUUCAUAGUAGAGACAGUAGAGCUUUUAGCGGAUUCAAAUUUAGACACUAGACCAUUGUCGGAUCGCGGAUUUUGCUUCAAAUUUGGGCUGAUCGGCGGUAAGAUCUUACAGUAAACUAGGCAUCUUCUAGCUUUUUGUACUGCAUGCAUGGAUAGGAACAUAUUUGCCGAACAAUUAAAGCUGACUAAAUGACUGAUUAAUUUUAUCCUGCUAGCUUUUAUUUAAAUCUAUAUGAUUAUAAUCUCGAAAUGUCUGUGCCAAUGUAAGAGAUACGAUAUAGUCUUAACUUCAAACCGCUAGCGAUAAGUUUUUCAGGAUUUUACAACUCUAUUAUAAUAGCUUUUACACCAGUUUUGAAAUAUGUUAAACAAUUAUUAAACUUCUGCUCUUUAGCGAUGAUUUAAGAAAGCAAAUUAACCACUAUAGUCUAGUCAUGUGUUCACCAAAGUAGUAAAUUAAGAUGUAGCGCCGCGCCAGCGGUUUGAAGCGGUUUACGUUCGGCGUAUAAAUUUCAUGCUUUAUCCUUUAUUAACGACUACGUCUACAAUUGGCCCCCGUAGCAGUUCAACUGUUCAAGUAAGAAAUUUAUACGCCGAACGUCAACUUCGAACGCUAAAUCUUAAUUUACUGCCGCUUUCCCUUUGGCUUUGGUGAAUACAUGCAUGACUAGUGGAGUAGUGGUUAAUUUGCUUUCUUAAUUCUUAAAUCAUUGCUAUAAGGCUGCAAGUAAAAAAAUUAGUAGUUUCUCGUCCCCGCCCGCAUCCUUUUUCCCUGCCGCAUGGACUUUUCUUUUUUUCUUUUUUUAUAUUCGAGCCUUUCAAAGAAUUUCCACUUACAUAUUUCGGGCAUUUUGCUCCUUUCGGCAUAGUUCAGUUGCCAUUCGGAACUUUUCGUCAACUAGUCUCACUUGCUGCAUAUUCGGUACUUCGCGCCGCUGUUCGUGCAUAUUGUUAUUUUGGCACCAUAUUGCAUUAGUAUAGCUGUUUGUCUAUUUUAUUAAAUAUGUACGUUUUAUGAGUAAACUUCAAUAUUUGCGUGUGUUUAUAAUUAUAGGUUAUUUGGUAAACUUUAAGACCAAUAUUUGAAGGUUUAACAAAAAAAAAAGCUCCCGAGUUCUCCUUUUUUUUUCAAAAUUCGGACGAAACUAAUUUUUUUUACUUGGCCUAAAGAGAACAAUUGCCAAGUUUAAUAAUAUUGUUUAACAUAUUUCAAAACUGGUAGUGCCUAGUGGUGUAAAAACUAUUAUAAUAGAGUUGUAAAAUCAAAAACUUCGCUAGAGAGUAGAGGUUUCAACAACAACAACAACAACAACAACAACAACAACAACAACAACAACAACAACAACAACAACAACAACAACAACAACAACAACAACAACAACAACAAAAAUUUAAUGAUAUAAAGAAUAUUUACAAAUUUACACAAUUCUGCAGGUAUAGCAAAAGCUAUUAAUCGAGGCAGAAAGUGUAUGUAUUACAGAAAGUUGAAUUCAUAUAUUAUGAGCAAUUUUAAUUUGUUUUUGUUUGUUUGAAAGAAAAGAAGAUAAUAAUCAACUAAUCGGAUUUAACAGAUAUUUUAGAACAAUCCACUUACUGUAAAAUAAUAUAAAAUGGUUUAACAGUAGCUGCUUAUUAUUUUAAUCAGAUUAGGCGUAUCAACAUAAUCGUCCUCACAUUCCAAAACCUUCAAUAAUAUUUUAUGCAACGUGAACUUUAAAUUUGCAGGAAUUAUAUAUUUAUAUGUGCUCUAUAGCUCAUGAAAGACAAGGCGAAGAGCUCGCUGUUGUAAAAUAAAAAUCUUAUUUGGAUGUGUUUUUGAAGCUUGUCCCCAAACACAUAAACCAUAAGAAAGAAAUGGAUAGAUUAUGAAGGUGUUACAAUCUUAUACAACUACCUGAAAAAUAUACGGAGAACUUCGAGAGAUACGGAAAAACAGUAAUACUGAUAAUAGCUCUUCCAAAACCGAGAAGGGAGUUCCUGAAAAAGAGCUUUAAAUACAGUGUCAGUGGAGCUUUGGAACAGCCUUUCUCGGGAGGCGAAAGAGGCGUAAUCUAUUUAUUCCUUUAAAAUGAAUAUCAUGAUUCAUGUAUGGAAAACACCUACUUUAAGUAUAUUUGUAAUAUUUUUAUAUGGUUUGUGAUGCCCCUCAUGAAAAUCAAUUAUCACUUAUUUACUGAGACCGAGGGAAACCGUGUGUUUAACACACUGUUUUCCCGAGGUCUCAGUAAAUAAGUAUUUUGUUAUAUAGUAUAUAAGUAUCAAAGUAUGAAUAAUUCACCGGUUAUUGGAGUGAACUUAAUUUGAAACCAAAACUGGAUAAAUGGAACGCCGUAAAUGUUUAAUAAGUUUUAAAAAUGAACUUUGGAACUUCAUGGUUGACACGCAUGCGUAUUGCACCCAUUUUAUUAUUGACCGGUCAAUAAAUGUUUCAUUGUGGACCGGUUGCCGAACAUGACGUUUUGUGGACCGGCACGUGAUACGGUUUUGACCAAUCGGCAAACAGAAAAAUUGAACUUUGACACAAACUAUAUAACAACAUCUGUUGAUGAGGCUAGCAUCUUUAAAUAAAUUUUACCUACAUACUACAUAUUAAAACCCACUUUUUUCCUUUCCCAGGAAUUAGGAUCGGACAAGCACUCAUGUUUGUGGAGCCAAUGGAUUUUGAAUCAAGAAACAUUAGCAACUGUAGUAAAUUAGGAACUAUCAAAACAAUUUAAUUUUUUCACAGUUCAUAUAACUGUGGUUUAAAUGUUUAGUUAUAUUAUUGUGUUAAAUUGAGUGUUAAUUUCUGCUGGAUUAAACAAAAUUUAUAAAAGCG
rnacentral:lncRNA from 1 species